GGGAAACAGUGAGGCAUAUGUGUCACGAUGAAGCAGCAGUGGGGCGGGUAGAAGAAGACUACUCACUCAAACCUGAACAAAAUAUAAAUGAGUUGCAAAAAUCUGCUUUUUAACAACAACUGGACAACAAAGUAUGAAUGUUCUUCCCCGAGCAAGUGCUGGAGUCAUUGUUUCCUGGCGGACCUUUUAAGGGACGGACACAUUGAUCCAGACAGGCAGCAGCAAUGGUAGAAAUCCCAGCGUUUGUUUGAAGCACCUGGGCCAGCUGCUUCCUGGUGUCAUUCCACUCCCCUCCUGCAGAGGCGAUAGUGAGGCAAACGUCAAAGUUGUUUGAAGCACCUGGGCCAGCUGCUUCUGGUGUCAUUCCACUCCCCUCCUCCAGAGGCGAUAGUGAGGCAAACAUCAAAGACCCAUUUCCCUGGGACACUUGUUUGUCGCCGCAGAGGCCCCACCUGUGCCCACGCAAUGCUGAUUAGCGCAUGGAAAACGCGCGCGGUGACGAGCGGUCUGCGGUGCCGGCGCGUCACGAGGCCUCCUUGUGAAGAAUAAACACACAAAUGCAUCAUCCGUGACAUUCUGUGUAACAUGUACCUUCUUAUCUUCUGUUGGAAAACAAAACCCUUACCUUAGUCCUACGAUGGAGUGUGUCAUAUUGUACAGUAUUCAUAAUAAAAUGACACCUGCCAAGGGACUGCAGUUAAAAAUCAACACUUUUGCCGAAAUAUUUAUCAAAUGAUGUGCCUUUUAACCAAAUAUCUGCCCCUGCUUCUUUUAAAAUUACACUUUACCAUGAAAUACCGUAAAUUACAGACUA